rnacentral:rRNA from 1 species
GAUGAACGCUGGCGGCGUGCCUAAUACAUGCAAGUCGAGCGAACAGACGAGGAGCUUGCGCCGCUGACGUUAGCGGCGGACGGGUGAGUAACACGUGGAUAACCUACCUAUAAGACUGGGAUAACUUCGGGAAACCGGAUCUAAUACCGGAGAAUAUAUUGAACCGCAUGGUUCAAUAGUGAAAGACGGUUUUGCUGUAACGUAUAGAUGGAUCUGCGCCGCAUUAGCUAGUUGGUAAGGGAACGGCUUACCAAGGCAACGAUGCGUAGCCGACCUGAGUGGGUGAUCGGCCACCCUGGAACUGAGCCACGGUCCAGACUCCUACGGUAGGCAGCAGUAGGGAAUCUUCCGCAAUAGGCGAAAGCCUGACGGAGCAACGCCGCGUGAGUGAUGACGGUCUUCGGAUCGUAAAGCUCUGUUAUUAGGGAAGAACAACUGUGUACGUAACUAUGCACGUCUUGACGGUACCUAAUCAGAAAGCCCCGGCUAACUACGUG